UACGUAGGGCGCAAGCGUUAUCCGGAAUUAUUGGGCGUAAAGAGCUCGUAGGCGGUUUGUCGCGUCUGCCGUGAAAGUCCGGGGCUCAACUCCGGAUCUGCGGUGGGUACGGGCAGACUAGAGUGAUGUAGGGGGAGACUGGAAUUCCUGGUGUAGCGGUGAAAUGCGCAGAUAUCAGGAGGAACGACCGAUGGCGAAGGCAGGUCUCUGGGCAUUAACUGACGCUGAGGAGCGAAAGCAUGGGGAGCGAACAGG
rnacentral:rRNA from 1 species